GGGCACCUACGGGACGCAGCAGUAGGGAAUCUUCCACAAUGGACGAAAGUCUGAUGGAGCAACGCCGCGUGAGUGAAGAAGGGUUUCGGCUCGUAAAGCUCUGUUGGUAGUGAAGAAAGAUAGAGGUAGUAACUGGCCUUUAUUUGACGGUAAUUACUUAGAAAGUCACGGUUAACUACGUGCCAGCAGCCGCGGUAAUACGUAGGUGGCAAGCGUUGUCCGGAUUUAUUGGGCGUAAAGCGAGUGCAGGCGGUUCAAUGAAUCUGAUGUGAAAGACUUCGGCUCAACCGGAGAAUUGCAU
rnacentral:rRNA from 1 species